rnacentral:rRNA from 1 species
CUCCGAAAGGGUAUCGGAGGCGCUCAAAGGUUCCCUCAGAAUGGACGGAAACCAUUCGAAGAGUGCAAAGGCAUAAGGGAGCUUGACUGCGAGACCGACGGGUCGAGCAGGUACGAAAGUAGGACUUAGUGAUCCGGUGGUAUAAAGUGGGAUUGCCAUCGCUCAACGGAUAAAAGCUACCCUGGGGAUAACAGGCUUAUCACUCCCAAGAGUUCACAUCGACGGAGUGGUUUGGCACCUCGAUGUCGGCUCAUCGCAUCCUGGGGCUGAAGUAGGUCCCAAGGGUUGGGCUGUUCGCCCAUUAAAGCGGUACGCGAGCUGGGUUCAGAACGUCGUGAGACAGUUCGGUCCCUAUCCGGCGUGGGCGUAGGAUAUUUGAGAGGAGCUGUCCUUAGUACGAGAGGACCGGGAUGGACUGACCUCUGGUGUACCGGUUGGGUAUCAAACCCAUGGCCGGGUAGCCAAGUCGGGAAGGGAUAAACGCUGAAGGCAUCUAAGCGUGAAGCCCCCCUCAAGAUGAGAUAUCCCAUCGCAAGAGUAAGACCCCUUGAAGACGACGAGGUAGAUAGGGCAGAGGUGGAAGUGCGGUAACGUAUGGAGCUGACUGUCACUAAUAGGUCGAGGGCUUAACCAAGUU